UUCAUCUUGCUUGGCUAGCUUUUCACUAUGGCUUUUCAUUUGUAAAAAUAGGUUACCGUUUGUGUUCAGUUUUCUGUUUCACACAUGUAAUAUCUUGUGAAAGUAUUGAAAAGUUUUGCGUAGUGUUGUAAGAAAGACACCGUGUAGAAUGUUGUAGCGCAUUUUCUUGAAAUAAGGUAUCGGAAGUCAUAUGCAAUGGAUUUCGGGCACCCUCCUCCGAAUAUGGCAAUGCCACCGCCCGGUAUGGGUAUGGGUAUGGGCAUGGGCAAUCCUAUGGGCCCGCCCGUACGCAACAACAUGCGCCAUAAUUUUAGGCCUUUUAACUACCAGAUGCGGUUCCCUCCUCAGGGUCCACUAAAUAUGACGCAGGAUGAUUUCGAUGGUAAACGCUUACGUAAAUCAGUUAUGCGGAAGACUGUAGAUUAUAACGCUGCUAUUAUAAAGGCUUUAGAAUGUCGUGUUUGGCAACGAGAUUGGCGGGAUAGGCAUGCUUUGCAGCCCGACGCAAUGUAUACCCCUGAUCUAUUACCGCCGCCCUCGUAUCCUGAUAAUCCUAUAAAUGCAGUAACUACUCGUUUUGUAAAGACUGCUACAAAUAAAAUGAGAUGUCCUAUUUUCGCUGUGGCAUGGACGCCAGAAGGACGAAGAUUGAUUACAGGUGCUUCGUCUGGAGAAUUCACUUUGUGGAAUGGUUUAACGUUUAAUUUUGAAACAAUCCUGCAAGCUCAUGAUUCACCAGUGAGGUCUAUGGUUUGGUCACAUGGUGAAGGAUGGAUGGUGACGGGUGAUCACUCUGGGUUUAUUAAGUACUGGCAGAGCAAUAUGAACAAUGUGAAAAUGUAUCAGGCUCACAAGGAAGCAGUUAGGGGAAUAAGUUUUAGCCCUAGUGAUUCAAAAAUUGUUACAUGUUCAGAUGACGGUACAUUAAGAAUAUUUGACUUCUUUAGAUGCCAAGAAGAGAGAAUCUUGAGAGGACAUGGGGCAGAUGUUAAAUGUGUGCAGUGGCAUCCUACAAAAGCUUUGAUUGUCUCGGGUAGUAAAGAUAAUCAACAACCAAUAAAAUUAUGGGACCCUAAAUCAGGCACAGCUAUGUCUACUCUUCAUGCCCACAAAUCAACUGUUAUGGAUCUCAAAUGGAAUGAAAAUGGUAAUUGGCUUAUUACUGCUUCCCGUGACCAUUUGCUGAAAUUGUUUGACAUUCGUAAACUUGGCACUGAGCUACAAAUAUUUAGAGGACAUAAAAAAGAAGCUUCCAGUGUGGUGUGGCAUCCCAAUCAUGAGGGAUUAUUUUGUUCUGGAGGUUCUGAUGGAGCUAUACUAUUUUGGAAUGUUGGCACUGAUAAAGAAGUGGGCUGCAUAGAAGGGGCUCAUGAAUCUAUUGUAUGGACUAUGGCUUGGCAUCCUCUUGGGCAUAUAUUAUGUUCAGGUUCAAAUGACCAUACAUCAAAGUUUUGGACUCGUAAUCGUCCUGGAGAUCUUAUGAGAGACAAGUAUAAUUUGAAUACUUUACCCCCAGGAGUGCAAGAUGAUCAUGAUUUAGAAGAACCUGCUAUUAUUCCUGGAAUGGGCCCUGAAGAUAAAGUAGAGAUAUUUUCUUCUGAUACAGAUAAGGUAAUUCCUGGCUUAGAUCUUGAUACAACAUUUGUUCCCAUGGAAUUUGAAAAGAAGGUGAAGAAAGUUCCUUAUAGCAAGCCUAUUCCUAGAAACUUCCAAGUUCAGUGGAAUCAUGGACCCACAAAUGACGAGGCUGCAACGGAGGCUUUGCAGCAGGCAUUAGUAGAGUCGGUUCCAGGUGCAAUUCCCCUCCAUAUGAUAACGCCUUCUGCUAUCUAUAUUUAUGGCAAGUUAUUAUCUGUAGAGCCUGGCUCAAAACUGGAGAGAGCUAUAACAGACGGGCCCUUAGCUCUCAAGAAGUAUAUUGCAUCUGGAGAAAUUGAAGAAUUAUUUGAUGUUAUGCCUCAUUUAGAAGCAGAUGCUGAUGAUGACAUUUAUCAACCUUUUGAGUACCCAGAACAUGAAACCGAAAAAGAUGCUCAGGAAGGUGAUGAUGAUAUGCAUGAUCAAGGUGAUGAUUACUAUGACAAUGAUAUGGAAAUGAAUCAAGGUGAUGAUGAUGACUACAGCAAUGGGCCCAUGAAUAAUGACAUGAAUAAUAGACCCAUGGGGUCAAUGAAUAACAUGCCAACUAACAUGAUGAGGCCACCUCUAUUAGGGAAUAUGGGUCCCAUAGGGCCUAUGGGUCCUUCUUCUAUGCAUGGAAUGGGUCCAAUGCCACCAAUGGGAAUGCCGCCAAUGGGGAACAUGCCCCCUAUGGGUAAUAUGCCACCUCCAAUGGGUAACAUGCCACCUCCAAUGGGUAAUAUGCCACCUUUAAUGGGUAACAUGCCACCUAUGAAUAACAUGCCGCCCAUGAAUAACAUGCCACCAAUGAAUAACAUGCCACCAUUUAAUGACAAUGGUUUUAACAAAGGUAAUUCCAGUUUUGAUAAUCAGUACAAUUCCCAGAAUGAUGAGGAUUACAAUGAGGAGGAUAAUUAUGAUCAAAAUCAAGGGUAUGACGACGAUGGUAAUUAUAAUGAUGAAGGUGGUAAUAACGAUGAUAAUUACCAAAGGAAUCAGCGAUGGGACAGGGGGAGAGGAAGAGGUCGGGGGCGCGGUCGCGGGAUGAACGGGCACGGCACACGCAACCGGCGAGGCGGUGGCGGCCAGCGGGGGUCCCCUUGGAGUCGCCGGGGCGGAGGCGGCAACAGGAACUUUCGACGUGGUGGGAAGUCUGUGACCAACUAGUUAAAGGAUUUUGUUAUGAUGCAUGCAUGCACAGACUUUGAACUCUACUCAAUUUGUUUCGAUCGAGGACUCAUGAUGUGUGUUAAGUGUAUAAGACAAUACAGUGAGGAUGCAUUGACAAAGGUUGUACAUAAUUUUUCUUUACAGCUUGUAUUUUAUUUUGGUAAAAUUAAACAUAAUAAAUUUAUAUUAUGUCCUAAAAAUAUUAUGUUCAUUAUACAGGUGUCAAUUAUUACUUUAAACAGCGGGAAUUGGUAAUCAAUGAGUGUAAGAAGAAUGUUAUUGGAGAAGCUUCUGCUGACUACUUGAGGCCCUGAGAGGCUUCAUUUCAACCUUGAGUCCCGAAUUCUGGAGCUGUCUUCUGCUGAAUUUGUCGUCAUCACACCAACUUCAUUAU
rnacentral:misc_RNA from 1 species